AAAAUGAGCUCGAUAAACACGGCCAAAAGAACCCUCGCCCAGAAGAUUGUCAAUACUGAAGCUGCCAGUAGCUAUCUGCAGAUCUGCUAUGGAGUAUGACGUCACAUUUGUAGGAGCUUUAACAGGUUUCUUGACAACAAUAGGCUUCUUUGAAAAAUCAUCAUCAUCAAAUGAUUUAUGGCGAUCAAUAGGUGGGGGUCUAAUAUUAAUGGAGGCUGAGAUAUCAAAUGUCUUUGCAUUGGCUGUGGAGGGGGUUUGUAUUGACUUUACUUCUUGAACUUCAUUUGAAGAAAGAGGUGCAAAUGGCUGAUUAUCAAGCUUUUCUAUAUCUGCCGAUGACCUCUUGGAUCUUUUCUUCACAAAGAAGAAUGCAACUAUCCCCCCAACAACAAAGAUGGAUAUGAUUAUUCCAGCUAUGCCACCACCUCCUAUUCCUGAUUUUUUGCCACCACUACCAGCAUCACUGUCAGA
rnacentral:misc_RNA from 1 species